rnacentral:rRNA from 1 species
CGGCUACCACAUCCAAGGAAGGCAGCAGGCACGCAAAUUACCCACUCCCGGCAAGGGGAGGUAGUGACGAAAAAUAACGAGGCAGUUCUCUACGAGGCCUGUCAUCGGAAUGAACACAAUUUAAAUUCUUUAAUGAGGAUCUAUUGGAGGGCAAGUCUGGUGCCAGCAGCCGCGGUAAUUCCAGCUCCAAUAGCGUAUAUUAAAGUUGUUGCGGUUAAAAAGCUCGUAGUUGGAUCUGUGGUCAUGUGAAGUGGUCGCCCAGUGGGUUGUUACUGCUUACACAGGCCAAGUUUUUUUAGCGCACUCUUGGUGCUCUUAAAUGAGUGUCUUGAGUAGCUAGUAUGUUUACUUUGAAAAAAUUAGAGUGCUUAAAGCAGACGCUUGUUUGAAUAGUGGUGCAUGGAAUAAUGGAAUAGGACCUUGAGUCCAUUUUGUUGGUUUACAGUCUCGAGGUAAUGAUUAAGAGGGACAGACGGGGGCAUUCGUAUUGCGACGUUAGAGGUGAAAUUCUUGGAUCGUCGCAAGACGAACUACUGCGAAAGCAUUUGCCAAGAAUGUUUUCAUUAAUCAAGAACGAAAGUUAGAGGUUCGAAGGCCAUCAGAUCCCGCCCUAGUUCUAACCGUAAACGAUGCAAACUAGCGAUCCGUUGGCGUUAAAAAUAUGACUCCACGGGCAGCUUCCGGGAAACCAAAGUGUUUCUGUUCCGGGGGAAGUAUGGUUGCAAAGCUGACUUAAAGGAAUUGACGGAAGGGCACCACCAGGAGUGGAGCCUGCGGCUUAAUUUGACUCAACGCGGGAAAUCUCACCCGGCCCUGACACUGUUAGGAUUGACAGAUUGAUAGCUCUUUCUUGAUUCGGUGGGUGGUGGUGCAUGGCCGUUCUUAGUUGGUGGAGCGAUUUGUCUGGUUAAUUCCGAUAACGAACGAGACUCUAGCCUACUAAAUAGUGAAUAAAUUCUUUGGUUUGUUAACUUCUUAGAGGGAUAAGUGGUGUUU